CUACGGGGCGCAGCAGUGGGGAAUAUUGGACAAUGGGGGAAACCCUGAUCCAGCCAUGCCGCGUGGAUGAAGAAGGCCCUAGGGUUGUAAAGUCCUUUCGGUGGUGAAGAUAAUGACGGUAACCACAGAAGAAGCCCCGGCUAAUUUCGUGCCAGCAGCCGCGGUAAUACGAAAGGGGCUAGCGUUGUUCGGAAUUACUGGGCGUAAAGCGCACGUAGGCGGCAUUGUAAGUUGGGGGUGAAAUCCCAGGGCUCAACCCUGGAACUGCCUUCAAAACUACAAAGCUAGAGGAUGUGAGAGGUGAGUGGAAUUCCGAGUGUAGAGGUGAAAUUCGUAGAUAUUCGGAAGAACACCAGUGGCGAAGGCGACUCACUGGCACAUUUCUGACGCUGAGGUGCGAAAGCGUGGGGAGCAAACAGGAUUAGAUACCCCCGUAGUC
rnacentral:rRNA from 1 species